rnacentral:tRNA from 1 species
AUUUAAGUAGUUUAAGUAAGAAAAAUGUUGAUUUGUGGUGUCAGUGAUGUAUAUAAUAUCUUAAAUU